rnacentral:rRNA from 1 species
GAUGAACGCUGGCGGCGUGCUUAACACAUGCAAGUCGAACGGAAAGGCCCAAGCUUGCUUGGGUACUCGAGUGGCGAACGGGUGAGUAACACGUGGGUGAUCUGCCCUGCACUUCGGGAUAAGCCUGGGAAACUUGGUCUAAUACUGGAUAGGACCACUUCUUGGAUGGUGUGGUGGAAAGUUUUUUCGGUGUGGGAUGAGCUCGCGGCCUAUCAGCUUGUUGGUGGGGUAAUGGCCUACCAAGGCGUCGACGGGUAGCCGGCCUGAGAGGGUGUACGGCCACAUUGGGACUGAGAUACGGCCCAGACUCCUACGGGAGGCAGCAGUGGGGAAUAUUGGACAAUGGGCGCAAGCCUGAUGCAGCGACGCCGCGUGGGGGAUGACGGCCUUCGGGUUGUAAACUCCUUUCGCUAGGGACGAAGCGUUUUUGUGACGGUACCUGGAGAAGAAGCACCGGCUAACUACGUG